CCCCUAGUCCUGCUGGCCACACCAUUUCUGACACAAGCCAGGAUGCUGCUGGCCUCCUGUUAAAGGGUUUUCAAACAUGGGUUUCUCUAGGUUUGCUUUAUUAACGACUCAGAGUCGGGCCACCACCGCAGUGAAUGGCAAAAGAUAACUCAAAAACGCCUUCUAUAUAUAUACGAUUUUACAAAACAAUACGUAAUUGAUGAUUUGUCAAAAGAAGUUCUAGGCAUUCUUCUACAAACUCUCACUUCUCUAUUCUCCAGUGCUUUCAAAAGUCUAAUACAUUUUCCUGUCUCAAUUGAUUCUUAUUGUCUUGUCCUGGUUCUUCUGAAGUUAGUGGUUGUAGGCAGAAGGUCUCCGGUCACCACAAUCACUUAUCUUCUUACACAUCAAAGAUCACCUUUGAAUUUCUGAAAAUCACUCAGGCUAUUCUAUUAAUUUAUCUUGUUGUAAAGUUAAUCACUUACUCCCACGUCUUAGGUCUGAGAUGUAUGAUCCUUCUUCUGUUGAUUCAGCUUGACUGGGUUUUAAGCCAGCCAUGGAGGGGGAGACACAUGGGACGAAUAAGCAGCUUAUGCAUGUUGUUUUAUAAGCACCUGCAUUCUAUUAAUCAUAUCUAAACCAAUUUCUAAUCAUUAGUUAUAUGUCUAAUAUGAAUAGUCUUAGAAACAGUAAGGCUUAAGGCCUAGUUCCUUUUACAGCUGUGUGGACAGCCACAUCGAUAGCGUUUUGUGGAGAUGAUUGGAACCGUGUGGCAGGGGCUGUUGAGGGGUAGUGAAGCAGAUUUGAAUCUCUAAGGAGUUAAGGCUUGGAUGUGAUGGGCUUAAAGUUUGGCCUUUUUUUUUUUUUCCUUUAUGGCAGGCUGAUUUGGACUCCAGAUGGUAUUCCUAGAUGGAAUUGAGACUUCUGGAAUUGUUAAGCUCUUGCUCUGUAUCCAGGUGACUUGUUCAAUAUGGUUUUUCUGAGACGUGGAGGGACAAGAUGCAUGCCACAGAGCAACGGAGGAGGGGAGCGGAGUGCUGUGAAAAGGUGGGCACGGGGCACAGGGCGGUUGAAGGAACCUUGCAUUUAGGUGAAGUGGCUGCUAUGGACGUUGGACUGUGACAGGUAGCACUGUGAAAUCUAAGUAGCGGGUUGAAAAAGCAUGGGUGGUGGAGAUGAUGGUGUGGAAGUGGACAGUCUGUCAAGAAGAGCAGAGCUCGCUCGUUUUCUGCUCGGGAACAGGGAUCGUGGAGGUAAUAUCACCUCGGGGAGGAGGACUUCUGAACGUGAAGCGAUAGAUGUAAUGGGAGCGAGGAAUGUGGAAAAGACCACUCUGUAGAGAAUCGCAGGCACUAAAUAAUGGCAAUUCUUCUUAAGGUAAUGCUAAAUUUUUGGAGUUUAAAUGUAUUUGUAAAAAUAAUGAUUAAAAGGGGAAUAAAU